rnacentral:rRNA from 1 species
UACGUAGGUCCCGAGCGUUGUCCGGAUUUAUUGGGCGUAAAGCGAGCGCAGGUGGUUUAUUAAGUCUGGUGUAAAAGGCAGUGGCUCAACCAUUGUAUGCAUUGGAAAUUGGUAGACUUGAGUGCAGGAGAGGAGAGUGGAAUUCCAUGUGUAGCGGUGAAAUGCGUAGAUAUAUGGAGGAACACCGGUGGCGAAAGCGGCUCUCUGGCCUGUAACUGAUACUGAGGCUCGAAAGCGUGGGGAGCAAACAGG